UAACCCGGCCAUAGGUGGGGUGGACCCACCCAGACUCAUCAGAACCUGGAAGUGAAACACCCCACCGCGGUGCUGAGUACUGCGGUCCGCGAGGCCGUGGGAAAGGCCCGUGCUGGGGUUG
rfam:Caldivirga maquilingensis IC-167, complete genome.